rnacentral:rRNA from 1 species
ACGAACGCUGGCGGCAGGCCUAACACAUGCAAGUCGAACGCUCGUAGCAAUACGAGAGUGGCAGACGGGUGAGUAACGCGUGGGAACCUUCUCAGUGGUACGGAAUAGCCCAGGGAAACUUGGAGUAAUACCGUAUACGCCCGAAAGGGGAAAGAUUUAUCGCCAUUGGAUGAGCCCGCGUCGGAUUAGCUAGUUGGUGAGGUAAUGGCUCACCAAGGCGACGAUCCGUAGCUGGUCUGAGAGGAUGAUCAGCCACACUGGGACUGAGACACGGCCCAGACUCCUACGGGAGGCAGCAGUGGGGAAUAUUGGACAAUGGGCGAAAGCCUGAUCCAGCCAUGCCGCGUGAGUGACGAAGGCCUUAGGGUUGUAAAGCUCUUUUGUCGGGGACGAUAAUGACGGUACCCGAAGAAUAAGCUCCGGCUAACUUCGU